rnacentral:lncRNA from 10 species
UCAGAGAAAAGCAGGUAGAAAGCAAGAUUUCUCGGGCCAGGCACAGUGGCUCACACCUGUAAUCCCAGCACUCUGGGAGGCCAAGGCAGGCGGAUCACCGGUCGGGAGUUUGAGACCAGCCUGACCAACAUGGAGAAGCCCCGUGUCUACUAAAAACACAAAAUUAGCUGGGCAUAGUGGUGCAUGCCUGUAGUCCCAGCUACUUGGGAGGCUGUGGCAGGAGAAUCACUUGAACCCGGGAGGCGGAGGUUGUGGUGAGCUGAGAUUGUGCCAUUGUACUCCAGCCUGGGCAACAACAGCGAAACCCCGUCUCAAAAAAAUAAUAAUAAUAAAAGAAAGAAAGCAAGAAUUCUCAAGGCUCUGUUCAAAAUGCAGGACUUCCACUCCCCAGGUCAGCAGUGAGCCCAAGGCUCUAGCUCCAGCGGAAGGCUGGACAGUGUUAGGGCCGGAGGUGCCAGGCAGGCACCCCAGAAUGAGAUGCAGAAACGGCCAGUGAGGACAGAAGCCAUGGUGCUUUGGAAGCCCAGCUCCUUCUUCCUGCUGAUGAACAGGCAUCCAGAGAGCCUGUGAGCGGGGCUGUGUGCUCCAGGUCAUGUCCCAGGUGUACAGAAUUUCAGGAAUUUAGUGGAGCUCUCGCCCAGCAAUUUUUUGCUUUACAGGAGAGGAAGCUGAGAUCCUGAAAGAGGUGGGGCCCGGCCCAGGGUCACUCAGCAAUUUUCAGUAGCUGCUCCCUACUGGGGAACUGUGUGUCUGAGGUCGUGGCCAUCUGUCCAAAGAGCUUCUUCUGACCAAAGUGCUCAUUUUCAUAGUGUGACCACAGAGUUAUUUGGGGUGGCCACCCCCAUCCCACAGCUGCUCCCACCCUUCUCUGCUGUAGAAAUGGAGGAGGGAAGGCCCAGUGGCUCCAGUGUGAGGGGAAGAGACCUGACUGCACCUGGGCUGUGUCUUCUCCGUCCACAGUACACCCGUGGGAAGAGGAGUCGGGGCAUCCCUUGCUGGAAAUACCCCAGCCCUGAAGGUUGCUGGCAAAACCACCAUUUAAUUCAGAACAAAAAGUCUGCUCCAGGAGCCCCUGAGAGCGUCAAAAAGAACAAGGUUUCCCCCACUGGACUUUACCUCCAGAUGCCCAGGACAUGGGACAUCAUGCAAAGACCUAGCACGUGGGGAUCUGCGUUUUCAAUCGCUCACCUGCAGAGCCGCCAGAUUCUGGCCAAUCUCGGCUUUUUUCCCUCUCACUGUGGGUUCUUCAGAGCCCCAUGGUUUAGACACAACGGUGGAUUCUCUUGUGCCCCAAUUACCACAUGCGUCAUGGGGAGAAGAGCUUGAACCCCCCAGAGGGUCAGGUCCAGGUCAACAUAAGCUUCAUGAGUCUGGGGAUGUCAUCAGUUUUGUUCCUGUUCUGUAUCCCAGCACCUGCAAUAGAGCCUACCACAAAGUAGGCCCUGAAAAAAACUGUUGACUGGAUAAAUGAGUGCAUGCCCUCCUGGACUACAAGCUGCAAGAAGGCAGGUUUCCUGCUCGUUGACAGCCUAGCAGAGGUCCCGACUGUUGAAUGAAGGAAUGAGUGUCUUAAGCUCCCCUCAUUUGCCGAUUCACCUGAGGACUACUGACCUGGCAGAUG